GACGAACGCUGGCGGCGUGCUUAACACAUGCAAGUCGAACGGAAAGGCCCCUUUGGGGGUACUCGAGUGGCGAACGGGUGAGUAACACGUGAGUAACCUGCCCUGGACUUCGGGAUAAAUUCAGGGAACUGGGGGUAAUACCGGGGAGGAAUCCUGGCUGCAUGGGGGGGGUUGGAAAGCUUCGGCGGUGUUGGAUGGACUCGCGGCUUAUCAGCUUGUUGGUUGGGUAGUGGCUUACCAAGGCGUUGACGGGUAGCCGGCCUGAGAGGGCGACCGGCCACAUUGGGACUGAGAUACGGCCCAGACUCCUACGGGAGGCAGCAGUGGGGAAUAUUGCACAAUGGGCGGAAGCCUGAUGCAGCAACGCCGCGUGCGGGAUGACGGCCUUCGGGUUGUAAACCGCUUUCAGCAGGGGCGAAGCUUUUGUGACGGUACCUGCAGAAGAAGCACCGGCUAACUACGUG
rnacentral:rRNA from 1 species